GAGGGUAUAGCUCAGUGGUAGAGUGUGUGUUUAGCAUGCACACGGCCCUGGGUUCAAUCCCCAGUACCUCCA
rnacentral:tRNA from 1 species